UUAAAAGAAGAGGAGGAGAAAAGGAUUUUUCUGCCUUGUGGUUUGUUUCCUGAUGACUUUUAUAUUCCAAUCGAGGAAAUCACAAGAGACUUAUCUCCAUACAUAAGUCUAUCUCCAUACAUAAGCAAGCAAAGAUCAUGCAUUUUUAACACACCCAAUGUAAUUGCUAUCGAUCAACAAAUUUGCAUUUUUAAGAUUCUGCACAAAUGUUUUUGUCCUGUCUCUCUCAUCUCCCACAGCAAAAACAUCAUUUAACAUACGAUUGUUAAAUGAUGUUUCUGUUGUGGGAGAUGAAAGAGACAUGACAAAAACAUGUGUGCAGAAUCUUAAAAAUGCAAAUUUAUUGAUCGAUAGCAAUUAUAUUGGGUGUGUUAAAAUGCAUGAUCUUUGCUUGCUUUUGUGUUGGGUAGAGUUGCUAAAGGUGACCUUUCAUGGAUAAUCAACCACGGUGAUAUUUCAAAGUGGAGUAGAGCUGAAAUGAAAGUCUUGCAAAACAAUUUCUAUUACUUGCAUGGGUAUGUGUGAGUUUCCUAGUGACUCUAAGUACCCAAACCUAUCACUUUUGAGACUUAUGUAUGGAGAUAAGUCUCUUAGGUUUACUGAAGAGUUUUAUGAAAAAAUGGAAAAUCUUUCAGUUUUAGCAUAUGAAAAAUUUCUCAGUUUUGCUCAUUGUGGUAGCAGAAAGUUACCGGCCACAAUUGGAAAAUUGAAGAAGCUAAAGUUUCUAUGUUUGGAUAGUCUACCAAAGUUGACAGGUCUUUGCAACACUGCUAAUAUAAUUUAGUUACCACAGCUUGUGGAGUUGAUACUUGAUGGCUUUCCUGAUUUCACUACAAGAUUGGAAAAGUAGGCUAGAUUUCCCACAUUGCUAAGUGUGGAACUCUUUUAACCUUCAUAUUAUUAUUUUUACAUAUUUAUAGGCAAGUUUUUUUGGUUACUUCUCUACACCUAUGGGCUUGUGUGUUAUAUUUAACAGUUGUAACUUCAUUUAUUAUUAUUUUAUUAAGAUUUAAGAGCGACUACAAAUAAUCAUUUUUACACAUUUCCACUAAAUGCAAAGAUUCUACAUAUUAGUUCUAUUGAUCAAAUGAGUGAUAACUCAAAGCUAUUUAUGUAUGGUAAAGGAUAAACCAGGUUACAAAUUUGUUUCCUGUGUUUACAUUGUUUCAUAAAAUUUCUUUGCAGUUUAAGUACUUAACCCAUGUUUUCUUAGCAUUUUUAGUCCUUACGUCAAAUUUAACAUCUUGCAUCGACCCCCACUUGUCCUACAACUUUUUCACUUAAGUUUCACAUUUCACUCAUCUCGAAAAGUAUAAAUUCUUUUGGAAACAAGUUUUCUAGUUUUCGAUUGAGACACCAUGUUGUAUGCAUUGCAUUGUUCUAUUUUGGAGGGUGUUGGUUUUGUUAACAAUACAAAAUAUAAAAAUUCUAUCAUACAAGAAGGGUUGAGUAAAGACUGCUAAUAGCAAAAACUAAUAAGGAACUUGAGGAAGAUUGUGAAAUGGGAAAGAGGUGGAUGGUGGUGGGCCCUAGAGAUAGUUAUAAAGAUGAUUAAUAAUACAAAAUAUAAAAAGGCAAAAUAGACAUUUAAUAAGGCUUCAGAAUCUUAAAUUAACGGUGUGAGUUCCAUGAAGCAGGGACUAAAAUUGAAAAAUAAUUUAAUGGACCUAAACCAAAAAAACCAGAAAAGCACAUAAACACACAGACCUUCCAUGAUCUGUUCAAGGUAUCAUAUUCUUUUAAUAUUCUAUUAUUUCUUUAUUUCUUUUACUUUAUUUUUCUCUUUUCCAUAAAUAACUCCAUAAACUAAUUCUUCUGAAGUUGGAAAGGCCAAAUAAUUAACUACAUACCUAAUUUUUUUAGUUUAUUCAUUUGCAUAGAUCAUUAAAGUGAUUUAUGAUAAGGGUGGUUAUAAAUUAUAUCAAAUGCGGAUUUUAUUGUGUUUUAGUUAAAUUAACUAAAAUGGAUGGUGGAUUAGACCGGAUUGUGAGGGAAAGAAAAAAAUUUGAUUGAUAGAUGUACAUAAGUCAUAUCAACUUAUUCUUAAUUUUUUGUUACGUAAUAUGAAAAUGGAAAAAGUUAUUUUAUUGAUGUCUUUUUUGUUAACGAAUUCUUUUCAUUGCCUAGUUUGCUAGUUUGGUUUACUAAAAUUCGGUUUGUUGUUUAAAAGAAUUUUUUUUUCUGACAUGAAACCAAAGAAUAUGAAACUUUACCUAACUAUAUGUAGUGUGCCAACUAAAAAUAUAUAAAUACUAUUAUAUGUGGCAAAAAAUCCCAUUCACAAAUUUUUUUUUGGUGACAGAAGUGUUCUAUUUGAAAAUAAUAAAUUGAAGACAUUAAACAAUCAUAGAGUCAAACGUCAAGAUUGUCGGUUAUGGGAAAAUCUUGGCAAGUAAAAUUCAGAGUCGAAAGUACAAUGCUAUAAUUGUGUGGAUAUUCAAAGUACAGACAAGUAAAACUCAUAGUUAUAAAUCUAGGUGAAAUAUUUGUAUAUUUUAUGGUUUAUAUCAUGCUUAUAUUUGUUUAUAUCUCAUAUUUAUUGCCUUUUUUAGUUUCAAAGAUGAGACUAACCAUCAUCAUGACCACCAUGUCCACUUCCAGUGUCAUACUUUGAUUUUGCACGAGACAUGCGUGAAAUAUAUGUUGAUUGAGAAGCGGAAGAUGACGAGGGUAAUUUGGUCAUUUGACAAAUCUUCUGCAUUAUCCUGUAGCAGUUGUGUAGAUUGAGAAGCGAAAGAUAACAGACUCAUCACUCGCAUGUGACUUUAAUGGAGUCCAAACACUAAGAUCUGAUUUUUCUUUUUUCCUAGACAUUUUAUCCAUUUUUUACCAUAAAAUCCACCAUGAACUUUAUCUUGUAAACCAUUUGAAUCCUUCAAAAGUGGCCCCACAUUUUGCAGCCUAGGUGGUCUUCUAUCCUUUUCCUGAUUCUGUUCCGAAGUAUGCUUCCUAUGAUCCUCCCACUUGCCUCAUAUUAUUGAUUCUACAAAAGUUGGCAAACAUUACUUUGCUUCAAUUGCUCAACCUAACAAUAUCGGAAAUCUAUAUAUGACUGUGAAGUUUUAGAAUAUAUAUAUUCACAAGUUGCACACUUGAAAGCCUCAAGCAACUAAAUGAAUUGACUGUGAAAGAAUGAAAAACAAUGCAAGUGAUUGUGAAGGAAGAUACAAAGCACACAGAAACAUCUAAAACUAUAGCAGAUUUACCUGAUCUCAAGGGUUUGAGUUCCGGUUGCCAAUAUUAGAAAAGGUUAAGAUUUAUGUUUCUAAAGAGGAUAUUUUGUAUGCAGUGAACGCAAUUGUUGUUACACAAAGAGAAAAUGGAAGCAGAGAUGACCGAAGAUACAGUAGAAUGAAAUACUUAGAUUCAUGGGGAAUUGAUAAGUUUAGAUAAGUUGUUAAAGAGUACUAUGGAAAGAAGUUAAAACCUCCCAAGAAGUUACCCGAAUGGGAAUUCAAAAGCCACCUUGGAUGGAAUGAACAGGUUAGUUUCAUCAAAAUCUACCAAAUUAUAUCAUUCUACUUUGAUACUUUGAAUCUUUUUCUUAAAAAGACAUUACUUUAUUUUUCUUACAUUUAUUUUUUAGUGGCAAGGUGAUGGGCGUUUAUUUUGUGGGCUCCAUGUUGAUAGUGGGAGGGUUAAGGGGAUAAUGAAGAAGACAUUAAGGGAAAUAAUUGAGAAGUAUAACUUGAAUGUGAGGAUCACACCAAACCAAAACAUUGUCCUUUGUGAUAUUCGCCCUCUUGGAAACGCCCUAUCACUGUAGCUCUAGCACAAGGAGGUCUUUUGGUAAGUCAUUUAGCUUCUACAAGAAAUAUCAACGUACUUUUGCUAGGUUUUUUUAUAUCAUCCUACUUUCAUUUCUUCAAAGUAUAAUUUCUUUAAUAAGAAAAAAGAUAGAGAAUAGUCAAAAUAAAAAGAAAUGAAAAUAACAUGAUCUUCUAUAGGUUUUCUAUCGUUGUUACUUAUAUAAUGUUAUUUUUGGUAGCCUCCUACUUAUGUGGACCCCCUUAACAUAACUGCAAUGGCAUGCCCUGCUCUUCCCCUUUGUCCUCUUGCAAUCACUAAAGUUGAACGAGGAAUUUCUGACCUUCUUAAGAGGGUUCGAGCUGUAUUUGAGAAGGUAUUUAUCAAAUUAAUUUCAUUACUUUACUAAUAUUGUGUUUGGUGUGCCACAACUAACUUACUUUUCGAGUUUUUCUAAGUUGUCAUGUUUGACAAGCCAAAAAGUAGCUCAUACGCUAGCGUUUUAAUGCGCUACUAUGUUUGAUGUACUAGCUGAAAAGCUAGUUGUUAACUGAAAAACUAGUUGAUAUCUGAAAAGCUAGCUGUUAAAUAAAAAGCUAGCUGAUAGUUAAAAAGCUAGCCGAUAAAAAACAGUGUUUGGUAAGACUAGCUAAAAGAUAUAAAAUGACAUGAAAGGACAUUUAAAAUAAUAUAUUUCUAUAAUUAAUUAAGGGGUAUAUUUGGAAAAUUAAAAAAAAAAACUCCUAAAAAGCUACUCUAAAUAGCUUUUUAAAAAGCUAGUUAAUAAGCUAACUUAUAAACUACUUUUUAGCUUGUCAAACAUGACAACCUAAAAAAGCUCGAAAAACAAGCUAACUUAUCAGCUAGCUGUGGCGCGCCAAACACAACCUUAGACUAGCUUUUUAGGAGCUUUUUAAAAAUUUUAAAAUAUACCCUUAAUUAAUUAUAAAAAACAUAUUCUUUUAAAUGUCUAUUUAUGUCGUUUAUAUAUUUCAGCUAGCUUUACCAAACAUUAUUUUUUAUCAGCUGAUUUUUUAGCUAUCAACUAGCUUUUUAGCUAGUACACCAAACAUAACUUAAAUAACAACAAAAUUUCAUGAUUAUUCCACUUAAAUAUCUCAAACUUUGUGUCAACUCUCAAAUUUGCACCUUUUGUUGACAUGGCUUAGUUUUAGUGAAACUUGUUUACUAUUUAAUGAAAUUGUUUCCAUUAAUAUGCCACAUCUUAUAAGUUGUGCCAUGUCAUCAAAAGAUACAAAAUUUCAUAACAAUGGACCAAUAAAUAGUUUCCCCAUACAUUUGAAAGUUGAAGGGUUAAACAUGUUGAAAAAAGUUGGAGGUACCUAGGUGGAACAAGUGUGAAACUUGGUUGUUUUUGUAAAGAAUUUGCAUGUGAUUUUAAUUGUGAUGUCAGGUUGGUCUUCCGUAUAAUGAAUCAAUAGUAGUAAGAGUUACUGGUUGCCCUAAUGGCUAUGCUCGACCCUACAUGGCUGAACUUGGAUUAUUUGGUGAUGGUCCUAAUAGCUAUCAGGUACUUUUUACUUCUUUUUCUUACACAGUUCAAAACAGAACAGAACAGGUUGUACUACAUCUGACAUACAUUCAACUGAGACUGAUGUCAACAGGACAACUUUUGUCCUGCCUAAAAAGGUGUGGACAAAGAUCGAUGUGAAUGAAAAAAAAGUUGCAAUUUUUUGGAUUCACUUUUGAUCAUUUGUGAAAAGAUGUGAACGCCCUUUGUGUGACAUUGGUUUUGUUUUGUAGCUAUGGCUUGGGGGAACACCAGCUCAAACUACAUUAGCCAGAACUUUCAUGAAUAAGGUUAAGAUCUAGGACUUUGAGAAAGUGUUUGAACCGCUGUUACACAACUGGAAAUCCAAGAGGAAAUCUAAAGAAUCAUUUGGCGACUUUACAAAUCACGUUGUAAGAUUCCUUCUUAUCCAUAUUAAAAGACCAAAAAUACCCUUAUGAUAUGUUGAAAUAAAUAAAAACAAUAAGUUCAAUUAUAUGUAUUUAUGAUAAAUAAAUAAAUUUUUGAAUAAAACUAAAAUUAAAAAAAGUAAUUUAGCUUUUUGUUAGAGUAAAUUACACGAAUGGUCCCUAUGGUUUAGGGUAAUUUGCGCGUUUUUCCAAACUAUUUUUUUUUUAACCCGGAAAGUCCCUACUAUUUGUUUUUGUUACGCGCUUGGUCCCUGUCUUACCUAUAAAGACUAUUUUGCCAUUGAUUUUUUAAUUUAUUUAAAUAAACACACCCCCAACCCCACCCCCUCAUCUUACCUUACCUACCCCCAUCAUUUUUCCCUAUUUAAAUUAUAGUCUUUUUUAGGUCAGACAAGGACCAAGCGCGUAACGAAAACAAAUAGUAGGGUCCAAGUACGUAACAAAAACAAGAGUAAAUUACACGAAUGGUCCCUAUGGUUUGGGGUAAUUUGCGCCUUUGGUCCCUAAAUUAUUUUUUUAACUCGGAAAGUCCCUACUGUUUGUUUUUGUUACGCGCUUGGUUCCUACUGUUUGUUUUUGUUACGUGCUUGAUCCCCGUCUUACCUAAAAAGACUAGUAUUUAAAUAGGGAAAAAUGAUGGGGUUGGUAAGGUAAGGUGAGGGGGUAGGGUUGGGGGUGUGUUUAUUUAAAUAAAUUAAGAAAAUCAAGGGCAAAAUAGUCUUUUUAGGUAAGAUAGGGAUCAAGCGCGCAAAAAAAAAACAGUAGGGACCUUCUGAGUUAAAAAAAUAAGUUAGUGACAAAACGCGCAAAUUACCCGAAACCAUAGGGACUAUUCGUGUAAUUUACUCCAAAAACAAACAAUAUCGACCUUCCGAGUUAAAAAAAAUAAAUUAGGGACCAAAUGUGCAAAUUACCCCAAACCAUAGGGACCAUUCGUGUAAUUUACUCUUUUAAUUAUCAAUAACAAUUAUUUUCUUUAUUCUUUCAAGGGAUUUAAGAAACUUCAAGAAAUAGUGGACAAAUGGGAAGGUGUACCAAAAUCAUCAUCACGAUACUACUUAAAGCUUUUCACUGAUAAGGAAACAUUUGAAGCUGUGGAUGCACUUGCAAGGGUUGAGAACAAGAGUGCUCAUCAAUUGGCAAUGGAAGUCAUCUGUAAUUUUGUUGCUUCACAACAAAAUGGCAAAAGCCAGUAAGUAACAUAAUCUGAAAUUGAAGAGAGGAAUAAGAGUAUGUUUUGCAAGUCUGUAUUAUAUAUGAUGCUCUAAUGUGUUUCAAUUUAGGUGUUGAUUCCAAGUCAAGGUUUGUUUCCAGACUUAGUUUUUCUGUUUAUUGAGAGUAGUGUUUGAUCUCUGAUUGGUUCUGUUUAUGUAUGUGUUUCAAUUUUGAAUUUUGAUGUAGUCUUAAGUAGUUUGAUAUUGUCAUCUAUCUCCUGAUGUUUUAUAUCAAUAAGUUUUUAGUUAUUAUGUAGUGUGGAUUGUUGUAACACAACUUCUUGAUCUUCCAUUCUAAAAGAGAUUUUGUCUCUUUGAUGACUGAUUCUUUUCAUAGGUCCACAACCAUGACAACAAGAGCAUAUUUACUUAUACAUUUUUGUCCAUUUUGUGAGUAGAUCAUGAAUAGAGUGAUAUCCACAAAGUUUAUCCGGUCUCAACUAAAUUUAGCAAACCACUUUAUAAACAGUUUAGCUAGAGACUUAGUGCACAUGUCUAUGGUGGUAGGGAUGAGAUUUCAAAUACUCUUCUAGCAUGGUGUUAGAAGUUGAAUUCAAUGAGGAAAGUUUGUAACUAGAGAUUGGAGAACAUAUGACACAUCAUCCUAAUUAGGUAUGUCUUCGUACAUGUAAGUGAUCGUAAAGGUGAAUAUUUACCUUCUUAUAGUUCUUUUGAAGAAAAAUACAAAUGCAUGCAUGUUUACAAACUACCUAUGUAAGUAGACAAUAUAGAUGCUUCAAGAAGCUUGGACUUGGUUCUGUAUACACUCAUGAAUGGAUAGUGACACACAACUUGUAAUCCUUCAAAGGUUGAAUCCAUAGACUAUUUUUGUUCUUUGAGACAUUUUCAUUUAUGCAUAAAUAUAGUUGUUAUCUUUAUAUCCAAUACACGAAUUUCUAAUAGACUAUUUGCUAAGCAUGAUGAAUAUAAAUCAUCCAAAUUAAAUAAGAUUACUAUUUUCGUUGUCUUGUUCAAAUUUCUAUGGUUGUUGUUUUUAUAUAGAAAGUCAAAUACAAUACUUACAAAAAAAAUGCAUCUUUACAAGAUAGAAUUCAACAUAGAGACAAAACAUAACAUUUACAAUGAUACAAUUUAAUCAGUUAAGGAAAAUACGUGUGGUUGGCAUAGUAACACAUACAUGUCCAUACUUCUUUUUGGCACCAAGGAAUACAACGGACAUUGUUAUGGAUGCCAUUGGAUGGAAUUGUUGGUGUAUGGUGGAGAUGAAAUGGAUAUAUAUACAUGGGGUGUAGAAAAAGGAAGGGUUCACGAAUGUAAAUAUGUUACCCAUUCUCUUAUCCAAAACGUAGGGCCAUCUCAAACGGCUUGUUGCCACGUGUCAUUUGAUACAAAUAUGAAUUCCUUUAUUGUCUUCUAACCGAUUAACUCAUGUUCAAAUGAACUUGAUGGUAGAAUAAAAUAUGAAUGUUCCACAAGUAUUGCAACGUUUAUGAUUGAAGUCUAUAUACUAUUUCUAAUAAAAGUAGAUACAAUGAUAACAAUUGUAGAUACAAAGAUCUAAAUGGAAUAUUAUAUUUAAGAUAUUACAUGCUCUAAUCAAAUAUCCCAUUAGUCAAAUAAAUAUAUAGGUUAUGUAACACACAGUUCAUGUAAUCAUCUUAUUAAUUUAUUAACCAGAUUUUGGGCUUAAACCUAGGUCAUGGCAUGAGCACUUGUGUGUCACGAUGUGACAUGGCCUCUCGAAAUCGCACAUGACUUUAGGAGUCACGACGUUAAAUCUGCUGCGAGCCAAACCCUAAUUUUGGGGAUUUCCCCUAUUCAAAGAAAGUGAGGGCUAGGGUUAGUCCACCCUCAACAUCGAUCACCUCUAACACUUUCCCUUGAAACCCUAAUCCUCCAUAGUUGAUUUUGAGCUCCACUUGGGUGUUUUCUAGCCAAGAAGAAGGAGAGAUAGAGAUUGGUGCAUCAACUCAACAUUCAAGCUUCACCACCAUCCAUUUUCAUACCUUCUGGACCCUUAUGAGUUUCCAAGUUCAAUUCUUUAUGAGUCUAUAAGUUUAUAUCUAGGUUUUUAUGUACUAUCUUUCAUGUUUAGGCUUGAUAUAGUGAUGAGGGUCCAUAAAGUUGUCAACUUUAUGGAUCUCCAGUGUCCAUUUGCUGAGGUAAGUGUUGGAUCUGAAGUAUGGUUAGGUAUUGGGACUCUAUCAUGAUCUGAAGUAUGGUUAUCCCAUUCUUUCCUUAUUGUUCCCUAGCUUGUGAGUGGGACAUGCAUGUCCAAAUAGCUACGAACUUUAUGGUGUUCUAAGAUAGAGGAAGCCUUCUGGAAGGUCUAAAUUGCAAAGCUUAAAGGAUUAAGAGCUUAAAGGUCAUUUCUGUCAUGCUUCCUGGCUGAUUCUGCAGCCAGUUCUAGAUCUGGGAUCCCUAUAUGUGGCGGGCAGUUUGUUACGAGGUUGUCCCGACCCUAUGGGUUAAUAGUUCCCGACAUUACUCGCUCCAUGACUCGCAUGGACGGUAAUUAGUUUACCAUAGGUUACUUGGAAACUAUGCGUGUGGUCCGGAAUUGUGGAACACAUUGGGAGAUUAUUGAUUCAGAUGUUGAUGAUGGGGAACAACCGGUUGAUCAGUAUGGAUCCAACCGAGGCCAAGGAGAAACGUGAGAAGCAGAGGGGCGAGGGGACAGUCGGUGUGCCAGCCAGCACCCAUUGUAGGAGCCGACUUUGGAGGAGACAUGACGGGGUAUUUCGACCAGCUAGCUUUCGUUAAGUGUUAACUGGAUUGGCGGGACGGUGGAGAAUCUGGUGCAACAUUUUUAGGUUGACUAGCCUCCUCAUCUUGGGUAUCACUACCCAACAUGCCCUGGGAUAAGCGAGUACAGAUGACAGGGAGGAGAUGAUGCUGGCACAAGUGGAGCGAGAGGAGAUGAGGAGGAUGACUGAUUGAGUGUUUUAUUUUUAUUUUUAGUUAUUUUUAGUCACUAGUUUUAGUUUGGUUUGGUUUUUAGUUUAUUUUGAACAAUUUGUAUGGAUUGAUGAACGAUUGGUUUUUUUAUUAUGUUACCUUUAUUCGUUUUGUUUGUUGCCCACAACUUGCUAAGGAGUCUUGGGAAGGGAGUCAAGUCGAGUCAAGGGUCGUAAUAGUCAAGUCAAGGUCGUUGUGUGUCUAUAGUUAAGAGUCGAGACCCAAUAUUAAAAAUAAGUGUUGGGUGGGUCGUUAGAGAGGAUAUAGUUAUAAGAACCGUUCAGCAAUUUGCGUUUAGAAGGGUCUUAAUUCAUUAAGACAUUGGAAUAGUCAAGGUGAUGAGAAGAAUGGACGGUUUCAGUUUUCAAUCAACCAGUUUUCACAAUGUGAGAAUAUAUAAUUCACGUCGUGAAUGGGGUAAUCCAAGAUUUCACACUGCGCAUUCCUGCAACUUCAUGACGUGAGUCUCCUUUAUUCACGACGUGAAUUCCACAUUUUUCACUAAAUUUGGCGCUUUUAUGAUGAGCAUUCUGGUUGUUUCCUCCACUGAAUAAUGUGGCGUAUGCUUUCCCACAUUAUUCUAUACCUUUUGAAGACUUACACCAUUUUUAUGAAGAUUGAAGUUUUGGUUCGCUUUGUGGUUCAUUCUUUUUAUUUUUUUCGCGAGUUCCAAUCCAAGUUUCCUUUCCAUGUUCGAGAUGCAAAUUCUUACCACACGUUUUGGAAUUCUAUCUUGCCACUUCUAUCCCAGGGGAGUCUGUUCCUUUUUCUCCCUUUAUUGCUUUUAAAUUAUUUUAUGCAUACAAUGAGAGCAUUGUAUGAAAUAAGUGUGGGGUAGGGGGUAGAAAAAGUAAAAAUUAAUUGCUAGAAAUUAUAGUAAAUUGAAAUUUUUUUAGAAAUUAAUAGGUUUGAAAUAAUAAUCUAAUAUUAGUUUUAGCAAUAAAAAAAUUGAACUCUAGUUGCUAGUGUUGCAUUGGGAGGAUUUGAUAAGAGCUCAAAUGUUUAGUUGAUCCAAGUGCAUUUGUGGCCUCCUUUAUUCUAGUGAAAUCAUGGAACAAAAACACAACCUUGCUUAGUUUGAGGGAUGCAAUAUGUUUGGUAACCUAAACCUGAAAUGUAUCCAGGGAAGCUUUCAUAGUCAUUGCACAUAGAUUAAUUCCUUAACCAAUAAGGGUUGAAGUAAAGCGCCCCUGCUUAAGCAUGUAGGUUUUGAGUGAUAUAAAAAAGUGAAUACAUGUUAAAAAAAAGAGAGAGAGAAGUUACUAAAAAGUAGAAAAAAUUGAAGAAUUCUUGGAGCAUAAAAGUAUCAAAGAUCAAAAAUUCUGAAGUUGCAAAAAGUUAAAGAUACAAAGAUCACAAGAAAAGUGGUGAAUUCAAAUCAAAUAUCAAAGAAGUGAAGAAUUCAAGAGCUCCAUAUUGUGGUAUCUUAAAAUUGCAAUUCUCUAGUUUAUGUAUGCUUGGGUAGCUUUACAAAAAUACCUUGAGGUUAAGAAGGCUUUCUGAGGAUGGAUUCGGAGGGUUGCAUAAAAUGAGCAUUGUUCAAAAGAAGUGGGCUAGUGUUUAUGAGGAUUGUGAGUAUUUAGAAUUGAGGGGGGCUACUUAGGAAAAAAUUUAGACACAAAUGCAUGCGUUGAGGGCUUGGCAUAAUGGCUGAGUUUGAGUUGGAUUGUUCUAUGUGAUAUUGUUGAUGAAGGUUCGAUUUAAUAAUUGGAUUUGCUUGAGGGCAAGCAAAGAACAAGUGUGGGGUAUUUUGAUAUUGCCAUAUUUAUACACGUUUUUUAGGAAAUAUUUAUUUAUAUUUCUAUUAAUAUUUUGGUGAUUUGCAUAGAUUUAUGAUACUUACAAAGAUAAAUUGUUAAUUGCAGCCAAAAGAGUGCAUUUUCGAAGAAAGGGACUAGAAGUGACAAAAACUUGGAACUUUGGAGGCUUGAAAGAAAGAAGGAUGAAAAACCCACCAAAAAGACAUGUUCACGACGUGAAUGUCUUGCCAUUCACGACAUGAGUGGAGUGUUCCAGACGAUAUGUACGCGGGUGAUAGAGUCCUUGUCGAAUACGUAAAAGACCAUAUUCACGACGUGAAUCUUUAUGACUCACGACGUGAACUCGAAUUUUCAGAAUAUUAUAUAAACUCUUGCCCAUUACGACUUGGCGAGUUUCUUGGCCAACUUGGAGGUUUCCUGGAGUCGAACCUGAGCAGAAGAAGAUCUAGGAAGAAGGCUUUCAAAUCCAAACGGAACAAAGGUUUACAAAUAGAUCAAUAGAUUGUUAAUUAUGAACAUGAUUUGCAAUUUUAUUUGUGUUUACUUGUUUAUUACUAUGAGGAGCUAAAUCUAGCAGCUUCUGUCUAGCUAGAUGAAACUUCUGGAUUAUGUUUUAUCUUAAUUUUUAUUGGAUUGAUUAGUUGGUAAAUUGCUUGUGUUAGAUUAUCAUUAUCUGGCAAUGUUAUCUUAGUUUCUUAAGUUGCUUAAAUUCAUGUUCUGUGUAGCUUAGUUACCACUAAAUUAUGUGAACUUGAAACCUAGUGAUUUAGUAAACAUUGAAUUGUUAGAGCUAGGAUCGACCAAAAUCUUAGUUAAAGUAAUAAAAGUAACUAAUUUAGCUGUGCAAGAGAACACAAUCUAUGAACAUAAUUGUGUUUGUUUAGAUUAAUCUUACAUAGCUUACCUAUAAAUAAUAGCUAAUUCUGUGUUUUACUUAUGUGAGACCUUACAGAGUAGUUCAUGAAUUGGUAAAAGAUUAGUAAAUUUCGACUUAAAUUGCUAAUUACAUAAUAAUUGGUGACCAACUUAAUAAUCCAUAAUUGAUUAGCUAAACAUAAGAAAGAAGUGGAUUCGAACGAGACAGGAGUGUUUUUAAUUAACUGGUUGAAUAUUGUGAUUUAAGUUUGUCUAAUCUUGCAAAAUCAGAUAAAACCCCCUCUUUGCUCUUUAAUUAGGUUAAUUUAAUAGUAGGUAAAUUAAUUAAUCAAUACCGUUCCCUAAGAUCGACACCCGACUUACCCAACUAUAUUAUAAUUUUGACUAGGUACACUGCCUAUUAAGGUAGUUAGGUUAUAAAUAAUAAAAUUAGGUGUAGCUAUUUGCACGCAUCAGUGACCUUGGAGUAUUGACUUUGACCAAGUUUGACUUUAGGUCAUAUGGAGUAAUUUGAGUAGUAGAUUGAGGCUUGGUCGUUGUUGUUGUAUAGGUGACCUGUAGAGCCGGUAUUUGGAGCAGUGAUCAGUUCAGCUAUCUUUUUGACUUUGAGGUGAGUUUUCUCACUAUUCUUAUGGGUCUAAGGCACAAAGGCUGACCCACUUGUUGGGUUUAUGUAUCUUUGGAUGUAGUCUUAUUUUUAUGAUUAUUUUUAUAUCCUAUUAUUGCAUAUGUCGACAUAUUGGUGAUUGGGUUGAGGCAAUAUGCCAACAAAACCUGGAUGUUUGAGUUGGGUUGAGGCGGUAGGCCAACAAACCCUGGAUGGUUGAGUUGAGGCCACAUGCCAACAAACCCUAGAUGCAUGUCUUGUAUUUGUUAUUUUAUUGUUGUGUGGAGUAUUUUGGGGAACUCACAAAGCUUUAGCUUAAAGUUGUGGAUUUCAAUGUUUCAGGUACUUCAGAUGAUCGGGGGAAGACAAAGGUUUGAUCGUACACAUCAUCCUUUGGAUUUUUAUGAUUUGAGAGAUGUUUUAAUACUCUAAUUUUUCAUGGUAUUUUGGAAAACAAUGUUUGAUUGUUACAUGGUUUUAUGAAUAUGAUUUUGAAAAUCAAAAACUUUUACUAUGGUUUUUGGGACGUUACAGGUUAAAUAAACAAUGAUAAUGUUACAAAAUAACACAUUGAGUAAAUUAUAUGAAUGGUCCCUAUGGUUUGGGGUAAUUUGCGUGCUUGGUCCCUAACUUAUUUUUUUUAACUCGGAAGGUCCCAGUUGUUUGUUUUCGUUAUGUGCUUGGUCCCUACUGUUUGUUUUUGUUACGCGCUUGGUCCCUGUAUUACCUAAAAAGACUACUAUUUAAAUAGGGAAAAAUGGUAGGUUAGGUAAGGUAACGUGAGGGGAUGAGGGUGUGUUUAUUUAAAUAAAUUAAAAAUAUCAAGGGAAAAAUAGUCUUUUUAGGUAAGACAGGGACCAAGCGCGUAACAAAAACAAAUAGUAGGGACCUUCCGAGUUAAAAAAAUAAGUUAGGGACCAAACGCGCAAAUUACCCUAAGCCAUAGGGACCAUUCAUGUAAUUUACUCUAACACAUUAUAAAUAAUAUUAAAAUGCAAAUUGUUAUAUGUGAAUGUAAAACAUUGUAGCUAAAUGUGUAUAUUCUUAUGCACAGUGUACAAGUAUGUUAAUGUAGGAAGUUCAAGUUUAAUCUUUUGACUUUGUAUAAUCUGUCACUUGCAACCCCUAUAUUUUGUAAAAUAAUAUUUUCCAUCAUUUUACUUUUUAAAAUAUCACUUUCAUCCCUUCACCUUCAACUUUGUAAAAUAUCGCUUUUACCCUUUAUUUUUUAAACUUUCGUGUUUAUCCNCUAUAUAUAUAUAUAUAUAUAUAUAUAAUAUGAUUUUUCCUCUUCGAUUUUUCUAAUACUCAACAAAAACACGUAAAAACUCACCGUGGGCUUAAUUACUAGUAACAAUUAUAUAGUCUUAUAAUACCUUAUCACCAAUUAUUGAAUCAAUAAAAAAAACCACCGCUAAUUUUCAAUACGCCAUAAGUAAUGUGUAUUUGACAUUAACAUGAAGCAAAAUGAACAAUUAGAUAGAUUGUUUCCAAAUUGGGUCGAAACCCCAUACAUGGGCCUUACCCUAAAGCCCAACCCAAAUUCCUAGUCCAAUACAUUUAUACUCAGAUGGCCCAUUAAGAAAUCAAACACCCAAGCCCAAAAAGGAAGCCCAACACGAAGCCUAAAAGCCAAAACCCUCCUGACUGAGUACGUGUGGCGUACUCAGCUAUAUGCUAAGCGUACAUGCAAUUUGGCUUAUACGCUACAUGUACCGACUUGUACGCCCAACGUACUCAUCCAUUAGGCCAAAGCUCCAUUAAGCACUUAAUGCUCAAGACCAGGAUUCCAAACCAGAUAUCAACUUAUCAAAGAACGUCUAGAACCAUAAAGUCAUUGACUUGAUGACUUUGCAUGCCGCAAAAGAACCCAACAUCAAAAUAAAGAAUUAUACCUUCACCAGAUGGACACCAUCUUAUGCAUGGGGGAUUCCAAACCCAAAAGGAGGCAACUUUAAACAUCUAGAACCUCAAAAACACCAAGAGUGGCAACUUAUAGCUCCCGAAGUGGUACCAAACCACUAGAUCUCAUUCUUUGGACCAAAUUGAACCAAAAACUCAUACAAAGUAGAUCUAAGACAACAAUGAAAAAGAUCAAAGCUUUUUACCUCAAACAAGCUGGAAAUGAAGUACAUAGUCCAGAUCCAUAAGCUCAUCCUUGAUUCACAACCUUGUUGGGUUUUAGUAUACUACAACAUCCAAUGGUGCACAUACAACCCUAAAUGCCUUGGAUCUAUGUUUUCACUAAUUAUACAUGCAAUGAUGUUUCCAAGGUAUUAAACCUAUAACUAGCAUACCAUUGACAUGAACAAUAUAAGAUACUAGUUAGGAUAACAUGCCUUUUGCUGUAGCUUGAAUCCUUGUUGUAUUUGGCCUUAAAGAGCUUAACCCUAAUAGUGUGGAAGCCUCAAAUGGAAUCACAACACACCUAGGACAAAUGUGGCUCUUGAGAGAGAAUUUUCAUUCCAUAAAACACCUCCAAGCUCCAAGAACUACAAGUGAUGAUUUUGGGCCAUGGAGCAUAUAUUUAUAUGUGGGGUUUCUAGGGUCAUGGAUAUAACCUAAAUCCAUACCCAUGGGUUUUAUGAUCCAUGGUUCAUGUGGCCCAACUCUUUAUGUAUCCAUACAUAAAAUUAGUCCAACAUGGAUCAUAAGCCCAACACAUAUAAAUAUAACUAAUUAACAUAAUUAGUCCCCAUAGAUUUAAUUAGUCUCUUUUGAUCACUAAAUUAAUUCCAAAUUAAUUCUUGAUCAAUAUUAAUUAACUCAUAUGAUUUCAUUUUAAUAUAUUAUAACUUAUAAUAUAUUAAUAAAUCAUGUAUAACCUCUUCUCUCAAAAGUCCAUCCUAACAAAUUGUCCUGAUGAUAUGCAACCCAAAUGGACCAUGUUACUCUCGGGUCAAGUACAUACCAAUAAUAUUUAUGGGAUUAGACAUUUAAUCCAACAGUCUCCCACUUGGAUAAGUCUAAAACUAUUAUUGCAAGUACGACUCCAAAAUCCCGACUAGCAAUCAUAGCUCUUAAAGCCACUGUCGAACUGUGACCUAGUCAAUGACAUGUCCAUUAGAUAAGAGAUCAUAUAUUCCUCCAUUCUAGAUAUCAUAUGGACUGAGACAUAGAUUAUAAUCAUUCUCUCUGUCCAUCUGUUGUUUCCCGAUUUCUGAUUUAUGAUGACUGACUAAUUGAACAAAUCAAAUCAGUCCAGGCCCGACCGAGCACUUAUGUUUUGUCAUCACUAAAUCACCGAGGGGCCCAUAGAUAUCGAUUUUUAUCCCCUCUAAGGGUAAAAGGAAUGGAUAAACUUCGACUCAUAUGCUUGCUCCAUGAAGUGAUUUGAAUGAGCGUGGGUUUAAUCCAAUACUCAAAUCUUAUUCCAGGAGCACUCAUGAACACUGCAACUAUGUCUAAAUGUCUAAAACACCCAGACAAACUACAAACCCAUUCAUGGCAGUCUUGCCUCAAUACCUACUUCCAAAGUAUGAUCGACUGUGGAUGGUUUGAAUAACCUAUUUAUUCGGGAAGUCAAAACAUGCAAAGUGAAACACAAGAAUAAUACUAAUCCUAUAUGGCCCGAAAACCUUUUGAGUCAUAUUGAUUACUCAUUAUUCAUUGUAUAAUGUUUCGGAUAAUCAACUUAAUACUUGAAUGAAAACAAUAGUUAUACCAUGCUCCAAGCAUGCACACUAUGUUUACCUAUGGUCUUAUCUUUGUGAAAUAGAUCAAUUGAUAGCAUUUCAAUGAUGCUCAUUUUACAAUUCCAAAUCCUUAUGAUAAAUGUAAGAAUACUAGAUUCUUAGACAUUUACUGAAAUAUGUUAGAUUAUUAACUUAUAUGCAAUGAUCCUCUUGUAAUGACUAUGCACAAAAGUUACAAAGACUUGGCAACAAACAUUACAAAGUAUUCCAAUGGAGAGCAAUUCCAUGGAAGUGAAGUCUCAAAUUCAAAGUACAUUUCUUUGAAUAUCCUUCUUGCAUUAAGUGUUCUAAUCUUACACAGAUUUAAAGAAUAACUUCCACCUAUGAAAAUAUUUCCAUAUUCCCAUUUUGACUAUCACUUCUGAACAAGAGUUGCCUCUUUUCCAGAAUAUGUCAAUAUGGUCCUUUCCAAAAUUUUCAUUAUACUUCCAAUUGUCCAUGAGCAACCAAUCUUUGGUAAACCUCAGAUUGUCCUCGAAAAUUGCUUAAUCAUUUUAGUCAUAUCCAGUUCUAAUCCGUUUUCCCUCUUAAUGACCUAGGCAUUUGGAAAAUUUAGAACGGAUAAAUAUUAUAGCACAUGUAAUCGAUCCUAUACCCGAAGCAUAUCCGACACGAUUCAUGAUGUCUUACAUAAAGACAUGAUACUCGACCAGUCUUUUGCUAUAAUUUUUCUAUUUGCCAUGUUCUCAAAAUUUAGACUAUGAAGAGGGAUGCCGUAAUCAGAAUAGAAUUUUGAGAACGCAACAUAUAUAAAAUUUCCUUAUGUUGAACCAUUCCAACAUAACAUUCAUAUAUAUCCUUGACUAAAGUUGAUUAAAAUCUCAACUAAGCUUGUAGAAUUGGAAUGAAGUAUAAAAUCCUCUCCCUUAAUUAUAGCAAAACAAUUUUUCAAAGCGAAUUGAAACCUUUUGUUUUCUAUAAUUAACAUUGCUAACUUUCAAUACUUACCAUAAUUGAUUAUGCUCCCACUAGCAUAAUGAUUAUUAUCUUACUAGCAUAACACUUAUGAUCCCACUAACUUUGACAUGUAUCCAAAAAUCAGCUGGACUUCUAGAAAUCAAUACUUAUUGUCUUUCUUACCAAAGUUCAGAUUUCUGAUGCGAGAUGCUUUGAUAAGACUUUAUCAAAAUCAUACACCUUUCCUUAGAUAGCUCACAUGUGUGUCUAAACAAUUAUGAAGAGGGAUGUCAUAAUCAUAAUGUUUAGACCUUUUGCCAUUCUCACUAGUCCAUGUUAGGGGUGGGAAUCUAUUUGGUUUUUCGGUUUCCUCGAUUUGAAAUUUUUUUAGUCCAAUUCGAAAACCGAACCAAAUCGAAUUCAAAUUCUCUAGACCAAACCAAAAUCCGAAUUCUAAUUCGGUUUGGUUCGGUUUAAAAACCGAGGAAACCAAAUAUUUACUUAAAAAAAUUUUAAACAUAAAUUAAAAUGUUUUUAACAUAGAAAACUAAAGUUGCAAAUAAAAAUAUCUAAAGUUUCAUAAAAAAUAAUACAAAGAGUAAAUGGGUUAAAAUGAUUUUUACUUUAUAAUUAAUACUUUUAUUUAAUAUAAAAUAUAAAACAUAUUUUUUAAAUAAUUGACUUAUGAAAUUCGGUUUUUCGGUUCGGUUUGGUUUCAAAUUCAUGAGACCAAAACUCGAACCAAAAACCAAAUUUAGAAUUCGGUUUGGUCUCAAACCAAACCAAAAACCGAAUUUGAAUAUGGUUCGGUUUGAAAUCAAUUUUGGUUCGAUUUGGUUUUCGGGUUUUUUGGUUCGGGACCAAAUAAUUCCCACCCCUAGUCCAUGUUAGUGUGCCGUUAAUCACAUGCGCUCCACUAACGACUUUGAGAAUGCAAAUAUCACAAUUGCUAUCUACUUAGUGAAAGUAUUUCCUCAUCAUCAUUUUCAUGAAUCGGAGAGAAACCUUAUGACACUUAGAUUUUAUGGUGUAUGUGUUCCUAUCCAUGUAAAUUUGUCAUAACCUUAAUCACAAGACAAGGUUAGUGACAAAUCUAAACUCAUAUGGAUUGAACUUGUUUAAUCUUAAUUUCUUGCCUCCUGGCAACUCAAGGGCCUACCAUUACUUUUAGGUUGUUAUGAAAACAAUUGAGAACUCAUAGAACUCACAAACAUAGUCAACUUUUAACUGGAAUAGACACAUAAAUAAUAAUAUGUCAACACGAUAGGUUACAAACCGCAAGUCGUGGACUAGUGAUUAACAAUACUCUUGACUAGUUCUUGAAACUAUCUCAAAAUAUUUUAAGACUCCCACUGAACUCUUGACUUAUAAGAUUCUCUUUGUCAAGAUCCAUUCCUUGACAAAACAAAUAUUCAAGAGUUAGUGCAGAUUCUUAUCAAGUUAAACACUUCAUACAAUUGAUCUUAGUUGGUCUUUGUCUUAUCCAAGACAUCACAACUUACCAAUUUCAAAUGCACAAGAGUAAGAAACAUUUUACUCUACAUUUGAGAAGUGUUACAAGCCUUCUAAAGAUUAUGUCACUCAAGUUACAAUCUUGGAGUAUAACUCUAAGACUUGUUUUGGAACGAAGUAUAAUUGAUCUUUUGAUUUAACCAUUUCAACAAUUCACGAUUCCUCUUCUUAGCCAUACAAAUGCACUAAGAUAUCCUUAGAGGAUCAAUUGUGAUAUGGUUUCAUAAUCACUAAGAUAAUCAUAAACCAAGAUACUAAAGUACUCUCCCAUGUCUUCAGAUUUGAGAAACUUUUAUCUUUCUGCCUAAUUUGAUUCUUCUCAUUCGUUCUGCAUUACAUUGAAUCUUUUCCAAUGUUUCAAAAUUACACUUACACUUAUAAGUAUAACCAUAUUUACUAAACUUUUAGUAAAUCAUAACGAAUAGUCUCAUCGUUCUUUGUGGUGGACCUGAUCAGUGCACUACCAAGUGUACCUGAUUCCCUAGUCCUUCACUUGACUCACAUAUACAUGUGAACAAGGAAUUGGUCUUAAUUUUCCAAAGAUGAAAAUUCUCAUUCAUCAUACAAUACAAGUUGCAUGAUUCCAAGUUUCUAUCCAAUUGAAACUUGGGUGAUGAGAAUCUUUCCUUAUUUGGUAAAUUAUGACACUACCACAAAUGAAAGAAUCAAAUCUAUUUUCCAAUAUUGCUACCAAUAGAAACAUAUAAACAACAAUUUUCACAAAUGCCAUUGUAAGGAUACUUAAAAUAAUAUAAAAUCAAAAUUUUGCUUUUUAUUAAAAAUUGCGGAAAAACUUAUCCUUACAAUGCAAAUACAUAUGAAAACUAUGUUGUUAUCUAUUCCUAAGCAAUAUAUCAUAACUCUUAAACAGCAGCUCAAAAUUCCGAUCAUCGAACAAUGUGAUCGAAAUCCAUCUUUUCACGAUCAGAAUUAGCUUAGUCUUCUAUUAAGCUUCAUUUGAUUCUCCAAAACAUCAAAAUGUAAUUACAUUACAUCAUGUAUUAAGAAUCUCCAAAUAGGAACUUAAUAGAUUUAGAUAAUGGAUUUUACCAAAAGUAGAGUCAAACAAUUUGACUUUAUCAUCUCUUAGAUCUCUCAGGUAGUCAGGGCACGCUUCCAAUGUCCCUUUUACUGGUAAAAGAAGCAAAUGAACUCUUUGGGAAUGGUACACGGGACUAUCUCAGACUUAGCCAUUCUCUUUACCAUUUGGUCAAUUGACUUGACCAUGGUCAACCCCUUUCCAUUGGAAAGAGAAAGCUUAUAUGUACUUUCAAUGUUACCAUUGUCAAUGUCCAUGGAAGAUUGAGGAGUAGAUCUUCCAAUCAAGUUUGCUUUAUCAGUACGCCAAAUCAUUGCUGAUUUAGCAGCAACAAGCAAACAUGUAAGAUCGAUAAGGGUCAUGUUGUGGUCUGUCAUAUAGUAGUCCUCAAAGAACUCACUACAUGACUCAGGAGGUGACUGAAGAACCCAGUCAACGGCCAACUUCCUUAAGACUUCGACACCCAACUCUCACAGCUUGUCAAUGUGUGACUUCAUCUCCAAGAAAAAUGCACACAUAGACCUUACAUCUUAGUGUUUGUUUUCCAAUAGGGAUUGAGUGACCUUGAACUUUUCAAGUCUUUGAAUUUGUGGGUUAGGGAGAAUAAUUGAAAGAGGUGAAGGAAAUGAAGUAUGAUUUCCAGUCCCAUUAAUGCACAACAAAAGGAUUAAUCUUUCACCUUCAUCGCCAUGUGAGAUAUCAUAUUCAUUAAGAAAGUCUUUUCCGAAAGGAGAAGGAGGACCAUAAUUGUCAUAACUAGACAUCUAUGAGGAGAAAUUCAAGUUUAGUUGAUUUAAGUCCUUAAAAUAACAUGCAAUAUGAAAUAUUAAGGCUAUGACCCAACACAAUAUUUUAUAACUUGAAAGAGGGAUGUCGUAAUCCAAGCUAGAAAAUAUUUGAAGGUAGGUAAAUGACGAUUUACCAAUUUCCAUCAUUAAAAAACGAAAUUUAACAUUAGGUUUUAACUGAAUUGAAACUCCUAGAUCUUUUGAGAUUCAUUGAAAAUUUUCAAUGACAUGUUUAAAUCUCGAUUGUGUCCUUCAAGUUUGUGAUUGGGAUGCCGAGGAUCACAAACAAGGAGUGAAUAACCAUGCAAAUUAGCUUGGUACACCCAAUGUUACAACCACCUAAUCAAUGUGCCGGUUAGCCAUACACGCUCCAUUGAUCCAUGAUUAACAUCAAGCUACCAUUUGCCAUACAUUGUCAGUCCCAGAUUAGUAUGCCGGCUCCACUAACGACUUAACAAGGUGCAAAGUACAAUUUCAUGGGUUAACACCAAAUUCACAUUUUCCUAAGUAACUAAGAUUGAGAUUUUAUAAGUGUUUAGUUACUUAGUGUUUACCAUUAUACUUUUAAUGAAGGGAGAAUUAGAGUCAUGUCCUACCCGUUCGGCUAACGACCCUCCACCAGUCAAGGAAACGGUGGGUGAGAGUGGACACCCNCUGCAAAAAUCAACCUAUAAGACACCACACACACAUACAUACAUACAUAUACAUAUACAUAUAUAUAUAUAUAUAUAUAUAUAUAUAUAUAUAAACUUUUAAUAUUAUAAUAGUAUAAGGGUUGAAUUUUAACUUUUAAAAUUCUAAGGGUUGAAAUUAAAGUAUACAUGGAGGGCAACUUUACAAAUUCCAAAACUUGAGAGCAAGUUUUGUAACUUUUCAAAACUCUUGGAUUUUCAUAACUUAUGAGUGUAAUUAAGGUUUAAUGAAAAACUUUUCAAAUUCUACAACUUGAGGACAAGUUAUGGAAGACUUUAAAAAACAUUUAAAAAAACAAGACUCUUCAUUUUCAUAACUUAUGGAAACUUUAUGAGUUUUUAAAAUUUAUAAAUGAGACUUUUGAUAAAACGUGAGGACAAGUUACAAAAAUACAUAUUAUGAACAACUUUUAGAUCAAUUUAGAUUGAAAACAAAUAUUACAUAAUUUUUUCUAUUAAUCUAAACUGACUCAUAAAAACAAGAUAACUUAUAUCAAACAAUUUUCAUGUAAUUAACUUAACCAUUAAACUAAUAUAAAAAUGAAACUUUUGACAAUUAUCUUUUGCAUUGGAUUAGCAUGAUCAUUACCACAUCAAAAAAAAGUUUAUAAGUUGAAAAAAACACGUUAAAGAUUAAACGCAAAUUACUUCAAACUACAAGGGCCAUUCUUGUAAUUUGCUUUUUGCCAAUAAACAUGAAAACACAUAUUUUUUUUUCGUUGUUAAAUGAAACUAGGGAAGAAUCCAGCGUUGCGGGAUUGCAGGGUAUUCCAUUCUAAAACAUGAUGUUGAUUAAGAUUGUUAGUCACUGAACAGUUUGAUAAAAAGGAGGAUGCUUUAUUUGCUUCUUCAAGUUCAAGUUCCCGCACACAACAUCCACAUUAGAACCGAAUCCAUUCGUCUUCCAGCUGUCAAUAAAAAAAACACUCCUAAACACACACAAACAUAGUGAAAUAGAAAGAUUGAACAUAAAAAACUUAUAAAUUGAUAAUACCAAUUAAAAAAAUAGUGAUUAUGUUUAUCUAAAUUAAAGUUAUUGUAUCCAUACUUUUUUUUAGAAUUAUAAAUAUGGGCUUUAGACAGACAUAACUUUUGUCAAUAUUUUCAGAUGAACUAAACAAACAAAUAUUAAAAUUUAUUUUUAUGCAGUCAAUCAGUGCUUUGUAUGGCUUGUAGUCAGGUUUCAAUUUUUUUUAUCCCUUCAACGAACACAAAGAUUAUAACUUUCAAAGGUGAAACAUUUAUACAAAAAAGCACUUAAAGUAUUUGUCUUAAUUAUAACUAUUUUGUUGGUAUAUUUGAUUUAACAUUAUUUAACAAUUGUGAUUGUUUUAAUUACUAAAAGUUCUAAUUUGUUAAUAGUUGAUUAAUCACACAAGUACAUUGUCAUUUCUUGUGUUUAAAGCAACUCUAAUAUAGCUUUCUAUUUAUAUGACAUUGUUAUAAUUGAUAUAUUUCUCAAAGUACAAAGUUGUAUAAGAAUAGAUAAAUGAAUUGUUUGUCAUCAAAUUAAAAAAAAAAAGAUAAGAAAAAAGACACAUUACCAGUUGGAACAAUUGCAACAGCAAAGUCAUUAUUUCCUGUAGUGCUGAAAGGAUAGGGGCAGUUUUGUCAUUUCCCACAAACUAAUCAGCAGUCGACUUGGGUAUAGCUUCAUUAAUGGGUGAUAUUUAUAACUUUCAUAUAAUUGCCCCUGCACAUCAGACCCUGUUAAUACAUUAGAAUUUUAAAAUUUGGAUCAAUUUAAAAUCUUUUUUUUUUUUGAAUAAUUGAAGUAAAAGUUGAAAAUGGAUCACUAAAUUCCACACAAUUCACAACCAUAAUCAAACACUCAUCAAGGAAAACCUUAACUACAAAAUGUGAAGUUACAAAACAGAGCGAAGAAGAAAGAGGGAAAAAAUUAGAUAUUUCUGAAUCCCAAAUUAUUUUUCUUUCGUUGGUUUCAGUGAAUAAUUCAUAAAUGUUAUCUAAUUAACUAAUUAAUUUGGUCUAAGAUUACAAAUUUAUUUGAAAAAGAACAAAAUCACUUGCUUUCAAACGAAUUGUAUGAAGACUUUUCAACUUUCUAAAUUUUGACCAACAAAGUCAUUUAUUUGGGAUGUAGGAAUGUUUUUUACAACUAUAUUAAUCAUUAAGAUCACAUAUAUCAUCUGUUUAUGGUGCAUACUACGUGAUAGUGUAUAGAUAAAACUAACUUGAUAAAGUCUCUAAUCUCUCUAUCACACUGUGAUUGCAUUGAUACACCUGAAAUCUUUUUGCAAUAAUCGGAAGCAUAAGCCUUCUCCAGCCGAAGAACAAGCCGUAAUGGAAGAGAAGAAAAAACAAAUCGAUUGCAGAGAGAAAGCGCCUGUAAUCGAGACUUGUUGAGUGUGGAGUUCAUGUCUGCGAUUGACACAACAGACCAAAGAAAAAAAAACAGCGACAAAACCCUAAAUCAACAAAAAUAAAAAAAGUAAACACCUGGAGAAGAAGCAGCCGCUCGUUUUACUUGUCCCCAUGGCCGACUUUCAAUCGGAGGUGCAGCCCUGUAGAAACCGGGAUGGUUCCAGAAAAUGUAUGUGACCGAAGAUGGUCCUUGACUCAAAGAAGAAGCCUCCGACUGUCAUCUCAUUAUCUCAUUGUAGCCCUCAAUAAUUCUCUUAGGGCUAGUUGAUUAUGGGAAGAAUCUGACCACCAUCCAUUCACCAAAUUAGGAGGCAUAGUCUGUAUUGUAUUCCGGUGGAUAAAGAUGGAGCAGAAUUAUUACCAGAGAAAUGGAAUUGCCCCGGAGAAUGGGAAAUACAGAGAAAGAGAAUUAAGCUGGAAUGGGAAAUGCGAGAAUUAAGGUGAGUUGGUAGAACUGAGAAUCUAUAUUUGAGAAUUAUUUCUUUUGGUUGUAUUAAUCAAUAAAGUGAAAAUGAAUUUUUUUUAUCAUGUUUAUUCAUUUUCAAACAACAUUUUUUUUUAUAAAAAUACAUUUAAUGUACACCUUAAUUAGUCAAAAUAUGCAUCUUUUAUGUUGUUAAUUUUUUUAUUUUAAUAUUAAUUGUUACUAAGUAAUUUAAAUUCUAAUCAAUUAAUAUUAUUUUUUUAUACAUCUUGUAUGUGAAAACAUAUGUCUAAUAUAAAAGAAUAACUUACAAAGAGAUUUGACAAAAAUAUGGAAAUCAUACUAUUCAAAAACUAUGCGCAAUGUAGGAUAUAUGCAAACAAUAUAAUUCAAUAUUCCUAAAAACUAAAAAAAACAUAACUAUAUCUAAUAUAGAAUGUGCAAAGAGUCAACUUCAGUAUUCGUAAAAGCUAAAAAAAAAACAUAACUUAAAUUAACCUAAUCAUGAUAUUGAUCCAUCCCCAAUCAUUUCCAUGUAACAAAUCUUUUCUUCUUCUGACAUUGAUAUUUGGCAUGUUUUGUAUAUCUUCGAUAACUUUAUCUAUCAUAUCACAUACUUCCUUAUUUUCAUGCCUACCUAUAUUAUAUAUUGUUUCAUUAAGUUUUUCAUCAACCUCUUUGAAAGUCUCUUUCAUUUCUUUCGCUGCAUCCUUAUAAGAGCUUUCUGUGUCAUCCGUUGGAGGCCUUUUGCGUUUACUGUUGACACGAGCAGUUUGUUGUGUCUCUUCAACAAUCUUUUCCAACCUUUCCACAUCAACAUGUGAAUUUUUUUGUGUCUCUUCAGUCACAUCUUCACCAAGAUCAGUAGCUCCAUGACCAGUAGCUCUAUCCUUCCCGAAGAUUUUACAUAGGUUAUCAAAUUGGGGAAAUGGUUUAUCGCAAAACAUGCAGCACCUUUAUGACUCUACAAGAAUGGCACAAAAUUAAUUGGUUUCUAUUCAUUUACAAUAUGUUUUAAUGAUGCUAAAAUACUAUAAAUAUAAUCAUUAUAGUACCUUUAUAUACUCAUCCCAAACUUCAGCAUCGACAGUAACACAACAUUUAUCCGUAUCCCAGCCGAAUCUACUCGUGUUUGUUCCAUAUACCAUGUCGUGCACGGUGUUGAAAUGGUUUUUCGAUGUCUUCAUCCGCGAUUUAAUAUGAGGCUCUACUUUCAAACCCGAGUUAGGAAGACUUGCAUCUUGUAAUUGUUGCACUGCCUUUAAAUAACCGGGUUUGAAUCCGUUGUUGGCACCACCAUACUUUCCGGAUACAUGUAACUCCAACAAUGCUUCAAUUAACUUUGCAUCCUCUUCAGUAGUCCAUGUGUGUUUGUUUCGCCCUGCCAUGUCUACAAAAAAAUUUACAUAAUAGAUGCUUGAAAUAGUAAUUCAUCAUAACAAUCAUAACAACCUUUGUUUGUGGUGGUAUAACUCAACCAAGACUUAACCAAUUAAGCUGUUUUUUUAUUCUAAAACGUAGACAAGACAGGGGAGUGCAGUUUGGACAAAAAAAAUCGCAUCAUUCCGAGCAUUUAUGAAGCUUUUAUGAUGGUUUAAAGUUGAACAAAAUUUAAAAAAAAAAGUGUUGAAAUAUAAUUAAACAAUCAUAACAGCCUCUGUUUGUGGCUGUAUAACUCAAUCAAGACUUAACCAAUUAAGCUAUUUUCUUAUUCUAAAACAUAGACAAGACAGAGGAGUGCAGUUUGAAAAAACAAAUCGCAUAAUUCUGAGCUUGUACGAAGCUUUUAUGAUGGUUUAAAGUUGAACAAAAAAAAAAGUGGUGAAAUAUAAAACAAUCAUAACAGCCACUGUUUGUGGCUGUAUAACUCAAUCAAAACUUUAUGAAUUAAGCUGUUUUAUUAUUCUAAAACAUAGACAAGACAGAGGAGUUCAGUUUGAAAAAAAAACCGCAUCAUUCUGAGCUUGUACGAAGCUUUUAUGAUGGUUUAAAGUUGAACAAAAUUUAAAAAAAAAAGUGCUGAAAUAUAAAACAAUCAUAACAGCCACUAUUUGUGGCUGUAUAACUCAGUCAAGACUUAACCAAUUAAGUUGUUUUCUUAUUCUAAAACAUAGACAAGACAGAGGAGUGCAGUUUGAAAAAAAAUCGCAUCAUUCCGAUCUUGUACGAAGCUUUUAUGGUGGUUCAAAGUAGGUAAAAAUUCAAAAAAAAAAAACUGCAAUUGUUACACCUUCCAUUGUACUGUGAACAAUCUUACUAGAUUUUAACAUCAAAAGCAAAAUUCAAACACAUUAUAAAGAGUCGAUCUUUGCAAGACUUUAACACAAAUCAAAAAAACAAAAUUCUUUAAAUUGGAAGAAUUGAUAUCAAGAUUAAUGGAAGAAUUGAUAUCAAAAUAAACAAUAAAACCUUGAAUUGGAAGAACUGAUAUAAAGAUUAGCAAUCAAACCUUUAAUUGGAAGAGGAUAAUGCCAAAAUCACCAAGAAUACGUGAAUAGAACAACAACUUCGAUCCUCGACUUUGAUUUAUGUAUCGGAUAUAUAGGGCAAAAAGGAUUGGUGUUGAUCACUUACGUGGGCCAAUUGCAUGAAAAUCCUAAAGCCACGUUUGAAAAAUCUUGAUCGAUUGCAGGUCGUGAGGAUCGAAUGGGGGGCAAUUUGAUUUUCCCCUUUUUUUUCUUUUGAUUCUCGAUCACGCCUAUAUCUUCAUUUCUCUCCUUUUCUCCUUAAAAAAUAGAGAAUAUAUUUGAUGGAAAAGGAAUUGAUUUAUUUCUCAAUUCCUUACUUUUUUUUUAUUAACCAAACAAGAGAAAAUUCCUUUUCUCUGCACUUAUUUCCCAGUACCAAACACCCCCUAGAAGCUACAACUCCUUAAUUUGGAGAAUCGACCGAUUGUCCUCCCACAUCAAACGCCAGAUGCCACUCUGCGGAUUCUCAAAAGUCGAUUAACAUGCAUAGUGACGUUGGGGAUGGAUGUGUACCACCAGACGGAUCAAUUUCAUUACAGAAGGCUAAGGAAGUGUUGGUGGUUCUUCGGAUUCACCAUCGGCAGGCGUCAUCUCGGAAGUGUAGGGACGUCGUAGAAGGAGAGCAAGAACGCCGACAAAAACCCACAAACGACGUCCAUGGUGAUGCGAUAGUUCCCGACGGCAGCCCAACGGAGGCGACGUGACUGCCAGGGUUAGUUUUGGAAGAGUGUGGGGAGAAAUCGGUUCGGAUGGAGUGGCAACGGAAAUCAGAGUAGAAGCAAAAGCAGUAGGUGUGUGGAACGGUGAGGUAACAUGGGGUGGGUGGUGGAAGGAUCGAGAAGUGAAAAGCUUUAACUCGGAGGGUGCUUGGGUCAAAAAGUCUUUUUGUAAUCAGGUGACUUUUCAAAAAGACGUAAUUUUCUCUAUUGUAAAAGUAGGAAAAGUCAGGAUUAUCAAAUAUCUUUUUGAUCUUUAGAAAAAGAUAAAAGCGAAAAGGUCACUUUAAAAGCUAUGCCAAACACCUUCUCGAUGUCAUAUAAUUGAAGCGGUGGUGUGCAUACUAAUCCCAUUGUUAUCAGUUAAAAGUCGAUGGGAAAAAUGUGAUAUGGCAAAGGAGAAUAAGGAGGUAAAUGAAAACGUAGAUAGCAGCUUCAGAAACAUGUAAUCCACUAUAUUAUUGAAUUAUUGAAGAAUUAAAUUCAGUACCACAUAAAAGAGAAAGAGAAAAAAACAAGAUCAAAGAACUGUUCCAUAAAGGGCUUUAGAAUUAAUCUAUAUAUAAUUAUAUAUAAUUAAUAUAAUUUUUUUGAAAUAUUAGACCAACUAAUAAUCAUUUUCAACAAAUACGAUAAUUUUGAGAACAUUUAACAAACUCUUUUUCCUUCUUGGAAAGUGAUGCACAAAAACUAGAGAAAUAUCUGUGGUGUAAAUGAUAAAUAUUACAUCUUCAAGGGUGUAAACUGACAUUAUCCUUCAAUAAAGCAAUCAGUGGGGCUGUUGAUAUAUUGGGCUUCUUCAUCACAGUUCGAACUACUUGUUCACAAACACACUUUACAAAACAGCAAGCAUUAGCACAAGCGCAUCUCAUCUAGUAGAUCGAGGUACGUUUUUGUUGAAAGAUUUUCUCUUUGUUAAAGAAUCACCUGUCUUAGUUGUUUUUGUUGUGGAUCUGUCGAUCCUUGAGUAUAUAUCUGGAAAAAAAAUGUUUUCGUGGAUUGUUUGUGAAUGCUCUACGGAUAAAUUCAACUAAAUGUUUAAAUGGAUAACUAUGUCUCCUCGAUUUCCUUCUUUUGAUUAUUAAACAAUGUUUGAGGAAUGGUUUUCUUAGGACGGAUAUUUCUAUGUAGAUAUCAGUUCUAGCCCUAAUAAAUCCCCUAUUUUUCGAGGCACGCUAUUUCUUCUCAUCUUUCUCAAUUUUACACGAUGGUGAAGAGUUGAAAUCAACAAUCUGUUCCCGCUUUCAGUCAAUUUAAAGAAAACAAAAGUGAAGUUGACAAAGGGAACACUUUCUAUAAUGUUAAUUAUCUAUGGGUUAUACAUCAUAUUUGACAAAAGAUACUUCUGCAAAUUAAUAUUGAAAUUAUCCAUGGAUUUUGUAUACUAAGUAACAACUUUUAACAAUUUCAUUCCUUUUUUAUAUCUGUUACAUGGUUUGUUUUGCAGGUCUAUGUAAAAGCUAGAAUAUUGAAAGAUGGAGGAUGUUUUUGCAAUCAUUAGUCCUAUUGUUGAAUCAUUAAUGGUUCUUGUCAAAAAACAGCUAGGGUAUCUCCUUUCCUCAACAAAACAUGUUAGGAGCAUGAAUAUUGAAAGAUGAGGUUUGUAUCUGCAAUCAUUAGUCCUAUUGUGUAUCAUUAAUGGUUCCUGUCAAAAAACAGCUAGAUUAUCUUUUUUCCUCUACAAAACAUGUUAGGAACUUGAAUAUUGAAAGAUGGAGUUUGUAUCUGCAAUCAUAGGUCCUAUUGUUGAAUAUGUAUUUGCAAUCAUUAAUGGUUCUUGUCAAAAAACAGCUAGGUUAUCUCUUUUCCACCACAAAACAUGUUAGGAAUAUGAAUACUAAAAUGAAGCAACCGGAUUGUACAAGCCGUGAUGUCAAAAAUCACAUGGAAACAAACAACAUAAGUAAUCUGGAGAUGCUUACUCGUGCUUGUGUAACAGGGUGGUUAAAAGAUGUGGAAAAGAUUAAGGAAGAUGCUCAAAUCGUUUCAAGUAUAAGGAAUGGAUGUUUUAACUUGAAAAUGAGGUAUCGAGGAGGAAGGAAUGCAUUCAAGAUUAUAGAGGAGAUGGGAAGUCUUAUUGAAGAAAAUAGUAAGAUAAUUUGGAGUGAUGUUCAAAAACCUCUUGGAAAAGUGAAUUCUCAAAACGCAUCUACUUUAGCAUUGUGGGAUGGUGAUGCCCAAAAUUACUUGAAAUUGAGAGAGAAAAGUUUUAAAGAUGCACCCAAGUUCCUUCAACAAGAUCACACGAGCCAAGUGAUAGCCCUAUAUGGAAUGAGAGGUGUAGGGAAAACCACAAUGACGGAACACUUGAAAAAGGCUGCAGAAGAUAAGAAAAUGUUUGAUUGGAUCGUGAAGGCGGUUAUUGGACAAAAGAUUAACAUGUUAUCUAUUCAGCAAGCUGUAGCAGAAUAUAUAGGUCAAUCUCUAAUAGAAAUGAGUAUAACAGCAAGAGCUGAUCGUCUUCCUAUAAGGUAUGGGAAGAUGUUUGAAGGACAAAAAAAGGUGUUAGUGAUAUUAGAUGGUUUUUUGCCCCUUGCAGUUAAACUCAUUGAGAUAAGCUAUACCACCUAUUUAAAAGAAGAGGAGAAAAGGAUUUUUCUGCUUUGUGGUUUGUUUCCUGAUGACUUUCAUAUUCCAAUCGAGGAACUCACAAGAGACAUAUCUCCAUACAUAAGCAAGCAAAGAUCAUGCAUUUUAACACACCCAAUGUAAUUGCUAUCGAUCAACAAAUUUGUAUUUUUAAGAUUCU
rnacentral:lncRNA from 1 species